rnacentral:lncRNA from 1 species
UCAAAUAGCCUGCAUUCUUUUAAGUCACACAUGGAAUUAAAAAAAUAUGCAUUAUCACUAAAAAUAUACAAUACAAGAAUUGGGAGCUUGCUCAUAAAAGAAUGAUCCAUAAAAGAUCGAAACCUUAUUGACCAACAGUCAACCUGAUUUCUUCCUUCCAAAAUUAUGCUAUAGUAUUUGGAUCAUGCUGAAACGAACACCCAAUGUAAGCUAGGUCUGUCAUUCGUGAGGGUGCUAAUGUACCUCAGGCUUUUGCUUCAUAGCCAAAUGGAUAUCUAGGAAUUGAAACAAAGUUAAGGAAAACCUUGAUUAUUUUUUUAAGGGGUCUUUGAAACAUAUUUUGACACUUUGAAUUUGUAUAUGCUGCACAAAAAAGAUUAAUUUCAGAACACAGAAGUCCAACUAUUUAAGGAUGAGCCUUGGCACAAUGGUGAGGUUGCUUGACUGUGACUUGGGUGUCAUGAGCCCGAAACACGGAAAUAGCUUCUCUGCAAGCAGGGGCAAGACUGCAUACAUCUAACCCAUCCUAGACAAGUAAUGACGGAAGCCUUGUGCACUAAGCCACCCUUUUUUUUUUCCGUAGAAGUCAAUCCUUUUUUAACUAAGGGAAAGAUGUAUUGAUUUAUACCUCUUCCGCUAGAGGAAUAUAUAGCUGCUUUGAACAGACAGAUCAAAUGCAGUCAUAACCUGGUUCUAAUGAUGAAUUUGCACAAAAGACCACAUUUUGGUGGAUCAAACAUUACCAAAUAGGAGCUGCUCUUUCUGAUCUCUUCUCUCCUCUUCCUCAUCCUCAAGGAAAGAAUCUAAAUUAGGCACAUAUCCAGCCCAUUUCAUCUCACAAAUUAACUCAUCUAGCCUCUGAUAUAUAUCCAUGCAUCUUGGGUGAGCCUUAUCUCCCACGAGAAAGGCA